CAGGAGUUUGAUGCCCACGUGGGACACAGCUAGGAGCUGCACACCAGUGCCCACGCUGCCCUGGGGCAGAGAUGAAGGGCGUGUGAGGAUCCUCUUGUCUCAUCCCUGAAUCCUCUGGACAGAGAUGCGAAGGCAGGCCUCGGAGAGCGUGUCGUGCAGGAUCUGUGGGAACAGGCUGUGAUGCAGGCAGCACAUGGGACUCCCCCAGCUGGGACCCAGGCU
rnacentral:lncRNA from 1 species